AUGGCGGCUUCCCUUCGCGCGGCGGCGACGAGGAUCCUCCGUCCGGCGGGCCAGGGGCUUCGCCGGCUCGUCCACACCCAGGAGCAAUCUAGAUCCACCCCUUCCUUGGAGGGAGGAGACCGUGCAGCGCAAAUCCAGCAGAAGAAGGAGGAGCUGUAUGAUCUCAUUGCCCGUGCUCAGUCCAAGAAGGUUGGUCUAUUUUACACGGCUGCCCAGGGAGACAGACUUGUGCUCAGGAUUCUCUCCACACAAAUCAAGCCAAGACCAAAUGACCCUCAAUGGCGCUGGAUAACUACAGCCAAGAAGGUGACUAUGUGUUCUUCGGCUGCAAUUGUUCUUGGUAUUGCUGCGUUCACUCUUCCUGACUUAGCUACUCGUCCUGAAUACAAGCCAAUGAAGUGA
rnacentral:rRNA from 1 species